GAAGCAUAGCUCAGUUGGGAGAGCAUCUGCCUUACAAGCAGAGGGUCAUAGGUUCGAGCCCUAUUGUUUCC
rnacentral:tRNA from 2 species